CAAGACAGAGCAGGUGUGAGAGCUGAGCAUCCUCCCCUUGCUGUGCUCCUCUGGUCUCCAAGGCACCCUCCCCAUGCGCUGCUUCCUUCCACUUACCGCCCUCGCACGGCACCACAUCCUGAGCUCUGCUUGUUCCCUCUUCAGACUGGCAGGUGGUUAUAGAGGUGUUUGGGGUGUCAGCUCUGAAAUGCUAAAAAUAAAACCAGGCUUUCUAUCCUGGGAUGUCUCAUUAGUUUGCUUACAAAUGAGUCCCCCUGCAGUUUUUCAGCAAUUGGCUAACAAGCUCUAAUUUGAGCGUUUGGGCUGGACCUUGGCUCAGUGGGAGCAGACGCGGAGCAGACGCCUUCUCGGAGCUGCCUGUUUGGGGAAGCUGGUCGUUUCCACUCUAGCUCAGCCUCCCAGAACAGGGAAGCUGCAGGAAAGUUGACAAAAGCACAGCAAAGCAGGGAGAGCCUCCUCGGUAGAGAGCAACGACCAGGUAUUUGGCUAGAAGUUAUCACUGAUACGUUUCCAGAACACAUGGAGGCCAAGGCAGACAAAAGUAAAGAUGGAAACCAGACCAGUAAAUAAGUCCUUUGAUGAACUUCUGAGUCUCUACAGAUGAAGGCAAAGCUCCCUCACAGUUGCAGGCAACGUCUCAUCUUUUGUCACUUCUGGCAUGACACUGCACAGCCACAGCCAGUACGGUAUCUCUGCCUUUGCCCAUGUCCUGCCUUCUUUCUCCCUGGUCGGUAUCUCCUCACCUCAACCAGCUUGGCCAGCUCCUUGGUCAUUGGGGUUGCACCCACCCAGGCAUGUGCCUGGCUCCGCACAACCUCAGAAGCUCUCAGUACAGUGCAGGACCAGAGGUUGAAACCAAUGAAAGGUUGUUAAAUAAAGAGAAAAUGUUUAAUGCUGAGAACAAAGACUAGGAAAGAGAUGUCUAAUAAGAAAUUUUACAGUGAAAUACCAUGUGUUGUGCUCUGUAACUUCGUCUCCAUCUCCCUAACAUAGUGUUUAGUGAAAUCUACAGUGCUCACUCAUGCUUUGUGGAGUCUGGGGGUGAAAGCUUGUAGAUAUCCAACAUUUGCAUAACACUAGAAAGUCCACUUUGCCCUCUCCGAGAAAAUCUAGUGAUCCUGCUGUUUAUAUCUGAUUCAGAUCCCUCAAUAAGAGUUCUCUUGGUCUCAUUUUCAUACUGAUCCUAAGAAGCAUUCACUAACUAGGCUGUACCUACCUAGUACAGCUCUGUCCAUAUGGUAGAUCUGCAAUAGAUUCUUGGGAUCUUAUGGUAAUUAGAUAGCACGCCUAUUCUGGAAUAGUGGC
rnacentral:lncRNA from 1 species